rnacentral:rRNA from 1 species
CUUGGUCAUUUAGAGGAAGUAAAAGUCGUAACAAGGUCUCCGUUGGUGAACCAGCGGAGGGAUCAUUACCGAGUUUACAACUCCCAAACCCCUGUGAACAUACCUUAAUGUUGCCUCGGCGGAUCAGCCCGCGCCCCGUAAAACGGGACGGCCCGCCAGAGGAUCCAAACUCUAAUGUUUCUUAUUGUAACUUCUGAGUAAAACAAACAAAUAAAUCAAAACUUUCAACAACGGAUCUCUUGGUUCUGGCAUCGAUGAAGAACGCAGCAAAAUGCGAUAAGUAAUGUGAAUUGCAGAAUUCAGUGAAUCAUCGAAUCUUUGAACGCACAUUGCGCCCGCUGGUAUUCCGGCGGGCAUGCCUGUUCGAGCGUCAUUUCAACCCUCAAACCUCACGGUUUGGUGUUGGGGAUCGGGUUUUCGCAAGAGAACCCGCCCCCUAAAUACAUUGGCGGUCUCGCUGCAGCCUCCAUUGCGUAGUAGCUAACACCUCGCAACUGGAACGCGGCGCGGCCAUGCCGUAAAACCCCAACUUCUGAAUGUGACCUCGAUC